UCGUUUCAAACCUUCAAGCCUAGCUUGGUGUUGGGUGACUGUCCCGCGGCCUCUCGCGCGGACUCGCCUCAAAUCCAUUGGCAGCGGACAUCGUAGCUAAUUGCGCAGCACAACGCGCCUGAAGCUCUCUGUUCGGCUAUCCAAGAGCCCAGUCUCACCAGUUUGACCUCGGAUCAGGUAGGGAUACCCGCUGAACUUAA
rnacentral:misc_RNA from 1 species